rnacentral:rRNA from 1 species
UACGAAGGGGGCUAGCGUUGUUCGGAAUCACUGGGCGUAAAGCGCAUGCAGGCGGAUUGUUAAGUCGGGGGUGAAAUCCCGAGGCUCAACCUCGGAACUGCCUUCGAUACUGGCAAUCUUGAGUCCGGGAGAGGUGAGUGGAACUGCGAGUGUAGAGGUGAAAUUCGUAGAUAUUCGCAAGAACACCAGUGGCGAAGGCGGCUCACUGGCCCGGUACUGACGCUGAGGUGCGAAAGCGUGG